ensembl:lncRNA
UGUAAUUUAAAUCCACAAUGUCAUGUAAGUUCCCUGUUGCCAGGAGAGUGUAUAACACUUUGGACAGUAGGGGGCAGCAGCGUGCUUUGGGAACUGAGUCGGGUGCAUAGCUGCCGUAAGUUUUCCAUUGUGGCAAGACUGACCAGGCGAACGGCAGCGUGUCUCCUGUGUUCACUUUCUCUCCUGUUUUACAGAGCCCUUUCCACAUCCUUUCUGAGCAUGCGCAGAGAAUGAAAAAAAUCUUCGCGCAUACGCAUUCGCCUUCUUCAUCUACGCCACAGUGUGCUUUGGCCACGUGUCUGGAAAGAGGGAUUAAUCACGAUUCAUCCGCUGGAGUUAAGAGUUCCCGAAUCGAAGUGAAGUGUGAAUUCAUCCUUCAAGCUGUGAUUAUAUACCUGAAUGAGAAGCCUCAAAAUAUCAUCAAAGAGUACAUGGAUUUCAACGUGAUGGAAGCUGAAGAGCUCGAAAGGAUGGAUUUGGGGUGUUUAUAAAAUAAUCCACGAAGGAGCACAGCCCGAUGACUCCCUUGAAGAUGUUGGCAUCAUUAUCGAGAGAUGCACCGUCUUGCAGGAUCUUCACGAUGUGGCGAGCAGGUGUGCACUUUUGUUUGGGCUAAUUAACUGCCUCAAUCUGAGUUACCAAAGCCACUUCGCUACACAUUUGAGUUCUUCCAGAAGGUGCUCAUGGGACUGGAAGACAAAAAACUGUCUAACAAAAUACAAGUGCUGAAGAACAAACUCUGCCAAAAGGAGACGCAAUGACUCUUCCAGAUCGAAAUGUCCCCCAAAAUAAGUGCUCUGUUUUCUUGCUGACUAAAAGUUUUACUGUUUAAAAGUUUAUAAAUAUAUAUAUGUUGAUCCUUGUUUGUAAAUAUUUUGUCAUAGCUUUUAAUAUUUAAGAGAUUUACUGAAUGCUAUUUUUCUUUUGAUUGUGGAAAAGAAAACAUAAUUCAGAAACUGAGUUUUUUGAACUGGGGACAAAAUUACCCAGAUGGAUAUAUUUUCUUGUUUCACAACAUUUUCUUCAGUUUGAGUUGCUGUGGUAAUUCUGCAGACUGUAGCCAUUGCAGACCUACAAC